UACGAAGGGGGCUAGCGUUGUUCGGAAUUACUGGGCGUAAAGCGCACGUAGGCGGGUUUGUAAGUAGGGGGUGAAAUCCCCGGGCUCAACCCGGGAACUGCCUUCUAGACUGCAAGCCUGGAGGUCAGGAGAGGCGAGUGGAAUUCCGAGUGUAGAGGUGAAAUUCGUAGAUAUUCGGAGGAACACCAGUGGCGAAGGCGACUCGCUGGACUGAUUCUGACGCUGAGGUGCGAAAGCGUGGGGAGCAAACAGG
rnacentral:rRNA from 1 species